rnacentral:sRNA from 12 species
AGCGAAGGGAGAACUCGCAAUUCUCUCACAAAGCCGCCAUUAGCAGCAGAGGAUGUAGCCGGAAUACAGGUUGACCGCUCCGUAAGCCUUUGUGUAAGUCUACUUG